rnacentral:rRNA from 1 species
UACGUAGGUGGCAAGCGUUGUCCGGAAUUACUGGGUGUAAAGGGAGCGCAGGCGGGCGUGCAAGUCAGCUGUGAAAUCCAUGGGCUUAACCCGUGGGCUGCAGUUGAAACUGUAUGUCUUGAGUGAAGUAGAGGUAGGCGGAAUUCCGAGUGUAGCGGUAAAAUGCGUAGAUAUUCGGAGGAACACCGGUGGCGAAGGCGGCUUUCUGGACUGUAACAGACGCUGAGGCACGAAAGCGUGGGGAGCGAACAGG